GACGAACGCUGGCGGCGUGCUUAACACAUGCAAGUCGAACGAAGAGCGAUGGAAGCUUGCUUCUAUCAAUCUUAGUGGCGAACGGGUGAGUAACGCGUAAUCAACCUGCCCUUCAGAGGGGGACAACAGUUGGAAACGACUGCUAAUACCGCAUACGAUCUAAUCUCGGCAUCGAGGAUAGAUGAAAGGUGGCCUCUACAUGUAAGCUAUCACUGAAGGAGGGGAUUGCGUCUGAUUAGCUAGUUGGAGGGGUAACGGCCCACCAAGGCGAUGAUCAGUAGCCGGUCUGAGAGGAUGAACGGCCACAUUGGGACUGAGACACGGCCCAGACUCCUACGGGAGGCAGCAGUGGGGAAUCUUCCACAAUGGACGAAAGUCUGACGGAGCAACGCCGCGUGAGUGAUGACGGCCUUCGGGUUGUAAAGCUCUGUUAAUCGGGACGAAAGGCCUUCUUGCGAAUAGUGAGAAAGGA
rnacentral:rRNA from 1 species